UUAAAGUUGAUAUGCCUUGCUGCAUCAAUGACAUGGAAAUUAAGUUUUAGAGAGCCAGAUAAUGCGUGGAAUAUGUUAUUAAACUAUACAGAUAAGACUUUAUAAGCUGGUAUCAUCUAAUGAAUAACUCUGGUGGUAUGGGUUUUGAGAAAUGUUAUUUUGUAAUCUAACUGUGAUGCAGGGACUCAUAUAUUACACAACAUAAUUAAGGUAGGACCUUUCUUUUUAUUUCAAGUGACCAACACGGUAGGAAGACAACAAUGAAAUAUUAUCAAAUUAUAUUGACCUAAAUAAUUAUAAACAUACCACAUCCAAUUUGUUUAUUACUAGUUACAAAUACUAUUAAUAUUGAGUUAAUAUUUCUUGUGUCAUUUGUUAUAGUUAAAACUUAAACUACACCAUGUUAAUCUAG
rnacentral:misc_RNA from 1 species